GGGAACGGGUGGAUUUAUUAGAACAGAACCAACCGGGAGCGACUUGUCGUUCCUGUUGCACUCUGUGAUGACUCUGGAUAACUUUACUGAUCGCAGUCGGCCUUGUGUCGGCGACGGAUCUUUCAAAUGUCUGCCCUAUCAACUUUCGAUGGUAGGUGAUCUGCCUACCAUGGUGAUAACGGGUAACGGGGAAUCAGGGUUCGAUUCCGGAGAGGGAGCCUGAGAAACGGCUACCACAUCCAAGGAAGGCAGCAGGCGCGAAAAUUACCCACUCCCGGCACGGGGAGGUAGUGACGAAAAAUACGAAUACGGGACUCACUCGAGGCUCCGUAAUUCGAAUGAGUACAAUCUAAAUCCUUUAACGAGGACCAAUUGGAGGGCAAGUCUGGUGCCAGCAGCCGCGGUAACUCCAGCUCCAAAAGCGUAUAUUAAAGUUGCUGCAGUUAAAAAGCUCGUAGUUGGAUCUGGGUCGCGCGAUCACGUGUCGUUACGUGGUUCUGACUUCGGUCAGUUCUAUGUGAUGAUGAGGUGGUCGUGCAGCCUUUCAGCCGUGUCUGCGUGAGCAGGUGUUGGCUGGUCGGUGGGCUUGCUCGCUGGCUAGUUGGCAUGUUUCCUGAUGCCUUUAAACGGGUGUCGGGGGCGUACGGCACUUUUACUUUGAACAAAUUUGAGUGCUCAAAGCAGGCCCAUGUGCCUGAAAAGUCUUGCAUGGAAUAAUGGAAUAGGACUUCGGUUCUAUUUUGUUGGUUUCCGGAUCCGAAGUAAUGGUUAAGAGGAACAGACGGGGGCAUUUGUAUGGCGGCGUGAGAGGUGAAAUUCUAUGAUCGUCGCCAGACAAACUACAGCGAAAGCAUUUGCCAAGAAUGUUUUCAUUGAUCAGGAGCGAAAGUCAGAGGUUCGAAGACGAUCAGAUACCGUCCUAGUUCUGACCAUAAACGAUGCCAACUGACGAUCCGCGAUGGUGAUCUCAUCCACCCCGCGGGCAGUCCCCGGGAAACCCUUAAGUCUUUGGGCUCCGGGGGAAGUAUGGUUGCAAAGCUGAAACUUAAAGGAAUUGACGGAAGGGCACCACCAGGAGUGGAGCCUGCGGCUUAAUUCGACUCAACACGGGAAAACUCACCCGGCCCGGACACUGUGAGGAUUGACAGAUUGAUAGCUCUUUCAUGAUUCGGUGGUUGGUGGUGCAUGGCCGUUCUUAGUUGGUGGAGCGAUUUGUCUGGUUAAUUCCGAUAACGAACGAGACUUUGACCUACUAAUUAGUAUGCCUAUCCCUCUGUGCUCGUGCAGGUCU
rnacentral:rRNA from 1 species